GAUUUAUAAAUUGUUAUAAAAUUAGUGAUCCAAAUCCAAUAACUAAAUGCAUGAAGAUUUCUAACAAAAAUAUAUUAUAUUUAUAUAGGUAAACUACUUUUUUUUAAGGACAAUGCACAUAUGCUCUAUUAAAUGUAAAAAGUUAAACCUAUCAAUCAUGUAAAAGAUAUUUCUACUCUAAAGGUUAGAUGUCGGCAAGUUUUGUGGUGCAUCACAUAUGUAACAACUAAUCAUAGCUGUGGCCAGUCUCACAGAUGCAAGAGGGAACACAUAUAUGUUUGUAUGAAUCUCAUGUCACAUGCUCAAAAAGAGGGGGCAGGGAUUUUGGCCUAUGCUUGAAAUAAAUUUCUGAUAUAUAAAAAAAGUAUUUCAAAUUUUAUUUCGGUUUGCAUUCUUCCGUGCUUUUCCUUCUUCAUCCACUCAAGUGGAAAUGAUUUAGGGUCAAUUUAUUCGUAUGAAAUCAUCCAUAUAGAUUCUUUUUCUUUAUUUUAUUUAAAUAAUUG
rnacentral:lncRNA from 1 species